rnacentral:rRNA from 1 species
GACGAGGGGUCCAAGCGUUGUUCGGAAUCAUUGGGCGUAAAGCGGGUGUAGGUGGCUCUAUAAGUCAGAAGUGAAAGCCCCGGGCUUAACUCGGGAAGGGCUUUUGAUACUGUAGAGCUUGAAUGUGGGAGAGGAUCGUGGAAUUCCAGGUGUAGUGGUGAAAUACGUAGAUAUCUGGAGGAACACCGGUGGCGAAGGCGGCGAUCUGGCCCAACAUUGACACUGAGACCCGAAAGCGUGGGGAUCAAACAGG